UCUCCAACAUGGAGGAAGGUGCACUGCCUGCUGCUGUGGGCAGGGAGAAGCCCGUGGCGCCCCUAGCCUUCUGCCCAGAAGCACUCCUCCCCUGGCUUCCGAGAGCACUGGGACACAAGGAUGAGCUGAGGCUCCUUGGCUAUGUGGCUUCAUUGGGUGCCAGACACAACUGAACACUUCAUAACAUGUUUUCCCACGAUGAUGGAAUGUCAAGGAUUUUAAAGGCACCUCGCAUGAACACCCCUCACUUUGCAUCUUCCCGAAGAACGUGAACACACUGUUCCAUUCCCCAGCCUGGAAUGUCCUCUGCACUCACGCGCAGUCAAGGCUCAGUUGGAACAGCCACUCCUUCUGGGGGAAAAGGGAAUCGGACCACACUGGCUUCACCACCCAUCCUGACAGUGUCCGUUUCAGGCACAGGGACUUCUGCUACAACGCACCACACGACUGCGUCUGAAAGCUACUCACGGGCUGCUGCACACAGCAAGACUAGCGAGGCACACGGGAAAAAGUGCUGGGCAGCGCGUGCUCUGCCGUUCUGACUCUGGGCUCUAAUAAAAUCAACCCAAUUGGAGUAAUAGCAGAGCUUAAAAGACAUGGUAACCUCCCAACAAGCUAAAAAUAGCGCUUUGUCAAGAAAAGCACAGGCACGGCGUGAGAGAAGGUGUGUGUGUGUGUGUGUGUGUGUGUGUGUGUGUGUGUGUGGAAGGUGGUGGUGUGCGCACAGGAGACCCAGCACCUGGGAAGAGCCAGCAGCAAGCGCCUCUCGGGGCGGCUGUCCUGGCAGAGGCAAGAGAAAGGACCUCGGGACUGGAUGCCAUACGCAGAUUUGCUGUGUGCUCCUGGGUGUGACCUCCUCCUUCAGCUCCCAGGAGUCUGCCCUCACGGGAGCUAGACCAAACAGAAGACACCACGCAACAACUCAUGCUUUCUCGCACUUGCUGGGUAGGCGUUGAGAAGGAAACCGGCCCCCAUUGAAGAUCCCUUAUGCGGGCUGUUGACUAUGGUCAAGCUGUAGCCCGCCCGAGGCGUAUUGUUGUGUCUCAGUGUUGAGAUGAGUCAGCCUUCAUCCCGGAGGCUAGAGAUGUAAUUACAGGGAGAAGGUGUCUCAGUAGUGUCACACGUUAGAUCCGGAAUCGAUAUUCUUGAAUAUUUAUGUUCUCCUGUAUAUGCGCUGUUCAGCCGGAGAGACACAGUCUACCAAGACACCACUUAAUAAGGCGUUACCUCACAGCCUACCUACACUAAAUUCGAAUUAUUUAUAUGGCACGUCAGUUCUUAGUGUUCUCUGGCCAGGAAUAAAAAUGUGCAUGUUGGUGUUGGCA